rnacentral:lncRNA from 1 species
GGAAUUGCAGGUUAUACCUUGCAAGUCUUAAGGACAAGCCACAAGGUAUGGUUUAUGUUCUUAUCUUUAAUUCUAAAUGUUAGAUCUUCUAAAUAUUUAUAUUUGAUAUAAAGAGCUAAUCACUUGUAUAAUUGUAUAUAGGUGGAGAAGCCAAGUAGAAGAUGAACAAGCAAGGAAAAUGUGGUGAAGGGUUCGGCCACUAUAUUUUUUGCUUACUACUUAGGAAGUUUGUUAGGCAUUAAAGAUUGUCUUUAAACUUUCUUAUUUUGUUAAAAACUUUUUAUGUGGCUUCAUAUGAUGGAAGAUCACUAUUAGUGCCUAAAUGUAUAAAGGUAUUUAUAUUAGUCUCUAAAUGUAUAGAGCUAAUAUUUUUUGUAUUAAACAUUAUGAAUGUUUGAAAUAUCAUAUUAAUGUAAUGUGAGAAUGCCUUUUUAAUAUACUAUUUCCUUAAAGUAGUGUUAUGAAUUGAAAAUUGUCUUGUUGUAUCCUAGAUGAGAUACAAGAGUUAUAUCACUUAUUGUAAUGUGAUAACCAAACUUUAGAUUUAUCAAUUAUGGAUAGAUCUCACAUGUAGGACAUAAAAGGAUACAAUGAAUCUUUAGAUUUGGUUCCAUUUGUCUACUUAUGAGUUCUAUAUGAAUUGACAAAAGUCUAGAGUAUCCUUUCUUGAAGAAAAGGAAGAUCACAUUAUAAUGAUAUAAGUAAUAAGAAAAACGUUUGUUAUAUGGUUAUCACUUGAAACACAAUGAUCAAGAUCACUCUUGAUUCAAUUAGUAGUUUUGAACAAAUAAUUGGGCAUUCUUUAAAAGGUUUUAAAAUGUCAAUUGUGUUAGUGAUUAAACCAAGAAAGAAGUGUCUAAAUCUAUAAAAUGUUUAAAGACUUUAGUCACUUAAUAACAAGACAUUAACUUAGUGACGAUUGAAACAAAUAAGCUUGAAAUGUUUUAAAGCUACUACACAAUGUCUUCUUCCAAUAUACUCCACUUUUAUACAUUUUGAAUGUAUUAAGUGAUUUCUCAUUAAAGUCAUGAGAAAUAGUGGGAGGUGUGAAAAUGGAUAUAAACUUGAAUAUGAUUGGUUUAUAGUUGUCUAAAGAAUAAUAGUAUUCGACUAUUAUUAAGAGUUUGCAAUUUUAAUUGUUAAAAGACUCAAGCUCUUCAAACGUUAAAAAUUCUAUGUUGUGUGACAUUCUAAAGAAUAGUCUUUGAAUGUUGGUUUCGUCAACCUAGCAUAAAAUGGUUAUAUGUUGGGAGUUGUCCAUCAUUCUCUUUUAUGAGAACAAGCUAAAUAACUAAGCAUGUGGACAAGUUGAUGAAACAAAAGGGAAAUAGUUUCAAAAUGAGUCACAACAUAUGGUUUAACAACAAGACAAUCCAAAUUCAACAUCUCAUGUAACUAUAACGCUCUAUGUAGUUUUAAUAAAGAAUUAUAUCAACCACCUAGAAGGAAUGGUUGAGUUUCUAUAUCCUUAGUAGGGGCCAUGCUUCCACUAAAGACUUGGAUAAUUCUUAUAUGACUACAUUAAAGGUCUUAGUGUGACUAGAACUUGAAGUAUGGUGUAUGACACUAUAUAAUUUAAAUGAAUAGACUUAAUGGAACAAGUCACACAUUUUAAAUGGAAUUACUUGAGAAGGAAUUCUUUUGUGUUUGAUUCAUUUAAGUUAGUGGGAGCAAUAUGCAUUCAAAUCAAGAAAAUAUAAUUGUUAUUUUUGAAUGAAUGCUAAGUUACAACAAGGUCAGUGGGAGUGAUGUCAUAAUUUGAGCGACAAGAUGUGAAUAAAGUCUAUUCGAUAGACUUGAUAAAACAUAGAUGUUACUCGAAAAAUGACAAAAACAUGACACGGUCAAUUUUGAAUUAUAGACUUGAAAUUGAACUUAUUGAUAUAGCAAGGCUAUCUCAAUAAUGUUAUAUGGGAAUUAAAUCUCAAAUGUUGU